GACGAACGCUGGCGGCGUGCCUAAUACAUGCAAGUAGAACGCAGUUGCGAACGGGUGAGUAACGCGUAGGUAACUGCCUCAUAGCGGGGGCUAACUAUUGGAAACGAUAGCUAAUACCGCAUACUGUGAGAUGGACCUGCGUUGUAUUAGCUAGUUGGUGAGGUAAAGGCUCACCAAGGCGACGAUACAUAGCCGACCUGAGAGGGUGAUCAGCCACGUUGGGACUGGGCAACGGCCCAGACUCCUACGGAAGGCAGCAGUAGGGAUUCUUCGGCAAUGGACGGAAGUCCGGCCGAGCGACGCAGAGUGGGUGAGGAAGGUUUUCCGAUCGUAAAGCUCUUAGUUUAGAGAAUCGGGAUCUAACCAGAAAGGGACGCCUAACGACGUGCCAGCCGCCGCGGUAUUUC
rnacentral:rRNA from 1 species